GUGGGUGUAGCUCAGCUGGCAGAGCACCAGGUUGUGGUCCUGGGGGUCGCGGGUUCGAACCCCGUCACUCACC
rnacentral:tRNA from 1 species